AAUAGAUACCCGGGUAGUCCACGCCGUAAACGAUGAGUGCUAAGUGUUAGGGGGUUUCCGCCCCUUAGUGCUGCAGCUAACGCAUUAAGCACUCCGCCUGGGGAGUACGGUCGCAAGACUGAAACUCAAAGGAAUUGACGGGGGCCCGCACAAGCGGUGGAGCAUGUGGUUUAAUUCGAAGCAACGCGAAGAACCUUACCAGGUCUUGACAUCCCGCUGACCGCUAUGGAGACAUAGCUUUCCCUUCGGGGACAGCGGUGACAGGUGGUGCAUGGUUGUCGUCAGCUCGUGUCGUGAGAUGUUGGGUUAAGUCCCGCAACGAGCGCAACCCUUGUCCUUAGUUGCCAUCAUUCAGUUGGGCACUCUAAGGAGACUGCCGUACAAAUACGGAGGAAGGUGGGGAUGACGUCAAAUCAUCAUGCCCCUUAUGACCUGGGCUACACACGUGCUACAAUGGAACGGUCAAAACGGUUGCGAAGUCGCGAGACGGAGCCAAUCCGAGAAAGCCGUUCUCAGUUCGGAUUGCAGGCUGCUAACCG
rnacentral:rRNA from 1 species